UGGGGAAUAUUGGGCAAUGGGCGAAAGCCUGACCCAGCAACGCCGCGUGAAGGAAGAAGGUCUUCGGAUCGUAAACUUCUAUCCCCGGUGAAGAUAAUGACGGUAACCGGGAAGGAAGCCCCGGCUAACUACGUGCCAGCAGCCGCGGUAAUACGUAGGGGGCAAGCGUUGUCCGGAAUGAUUGGGCGUAAAGGGCGCGUAGGCGGCUCGGUAAGUCUGGAGUGAAAUUCCUGCUUUCAAGGUGGGAACUGCUUUGGAUACUGUCGGGCUUGAGUGCAGGAGAGGUAAGUGGAAUUCCCGGUGUAGCGGUGAAAUGCGUAGAGAUCGGGAGGAACACCAGUGGCGAAGGCGACUUACUGGACUGUAACUGACGCUGAGGCGCGAAAGUGUGGGGAGCAAACAG
rnacentral:rRNA from 1 species